rnacentral:rRNA from 1 species
AACGAACGNCUGGCGGCAUGCCUAAUACAUGCAAGUCGAACGAGAUCUUCGGAUCUAGUGGCGCACGGGUGCGUAACGCGUGGGAAUCUGCCCUUGGGUUCGGGAUAACGUCGGGAAACUGACGCUAAUACCGGAUGAUGACGAAAGUCCAAAGAUUUAUCGCCCAGGGAUGAGCCCGCGUAGGAUUAGCUAGUUGGUGGGGUAAAGGCUCACCAAGGCUACGAUCCUUAGCUGGUCUGAGAGGAUGAUCAGCCACACUGGGACUGAGACACGGCCCAGACUCCUACGGGAGGCAGCAGUAGGGAAUAUUGGACAAUGGGGGCAACCCUGAUCCAGCAAUGCCGCGUGAGUGAUGAAGGCCUUAGGGUUGUAAAGCUCUUUUACCCGAGAUGAUAAUGACAGUAUCGGGAGAAUAAGCUCCGGCUAACUCCGUGCCAGCAGCCGCGGUAAUACGGAGGGAGCUAGCGUUGUUCGGAAUUACUGGGCGUAAAGCGCACGUAGGCGGCGAUUUAAGUCAGAGGUGAAAGCCCGGGGCUCAACCCCGGAACUGCCUUUGAGACUGGAUUGCUAGAAUCUUGGAGAGGCGGGUGGAAUUCCGAGUGUAGAGGUGAAAUUCGUAGAUAUUCGGAAGAACACCAG